rnacentral:piRNA from 1 species
UGAGAGCAGUUUAGUCUCCAAUUUAGAGAG